AUGGCCUUCAUUUUAAAGUCUAUUUUUUUUUUUUUUUUUUUUUGUCUUUUUGUCUUUUUUGUUGUUGUUGUUGUUGUUGUUGCUCUGUUGCUAUUUUUCUUUUUUUUUUUUUUUUUGUCUUUUUGUCUUUGUUGUUGUUGUUGUUGUUGUUGCUCUGUUGCUAUUUCUUGGGCCGGACAUGCUUACUUCUUUUGCUUGCCCACAUACAUACAAAUCACGGAAAAAGAUCUCAACUUUGACACAGGCUGCAGAUUUUCUGGACCACAACAUCAUUAUGCAUUUCUCAGAGAAAUACUGCCUUUUUUUUUUUUUGUCUUUUUUAGGGCCACACCUGUGGCAUAUGGAAAUUCCCAGGCUAGGGGUUGAAUCAGAGCUGCAGCUGCAGGCUUAGGCCACGGCAACUUGGGAUCCGAGCCUCAUCUGCGACCUACACCACAGCUCACAGCAACGCCAGAGCCUUAACCCACUGAGCAAGGCCAAGGAUCGAACCUGCAUCCUCAUGUUACCACUGAGCCACAAUGGAACUCCAAGAAAUACUGCUUUUAUAUCCCCACGUGCAAUGUUGACAGCAGCUACACAGUGUCCACACAGAAGCUUUUUUAAGGCCAAUGUUCCAUUGUGAUCUUAGGUUCUAAUAGGGCCAAUUUCUAAAAGCUGAAGAUGGGAAUUUAUUGGUCAGAGAGCACCGAGGCCCCAUUUUCUCAGUAUAUCCCUGAGGCAAAUGCUAGGAGGUUGUUUCUUCCAUCUCAGCUGUUCUGCCAGGUUAACAAUUCUGGUGUCACUAGCAAACGACUGGUUUUUUUUACAUGGUAAAAAGGGACUGACCUGCUCAGCUGCUUCUCUUUUGGCAUUGUAGGUAUCCAGGUGUUCUUGCAACUCCAAAACACUGAACUUGAGUGUUUCCAGCAAAUCACAGGACAUCAGCUGUCAAAUCAGAAACACAUUGAUCCAGGUCACCAUUUCUAAUUUUUUAUUUUUUCGGUCUGCACUCAAGGCAUAUGGAAGUUCCCAGGCUAUGGGUCGAAUCAGAGCUACCACAGCUGCCGGCCUACACCACAGGCACAGCAAUGCAGGAUCUGAGCCACGUCUGUGACCUACAGCAUAGCUCAAGGCAAUGCCGGAUCCUUAACCCACUGAGUGAGGCCAGGGAUCGAACCUGCAUCUUCAUGGAUACUAGUCAGAUUCUUAACCCACUGAGCCACAACGGGAACUUCCCAGGCCACCAUUUCUGAUCAUAAUCACACAAUGGUUUGCACAAUGUUUUGCAAGGUCAUUCUCUUGUUGAAACCUUAAUUCUUUUGAUAUUUUAAUACAUAAUCUACAAAUGUGCUUGCAGACAGGUGGGGAAGACCAGGGAGUUGUGGGU
rnacentral:lncRNA from 1 species